rnacentral:tRNA from 1 species
CAAAGAAUAGUUUAACGCAGAAUCCUAGCUUUGGGAGCUAGGGGUGGGGGUUAAAUCCCCUCUUCUUUGA